rnacentral:lncRNA from 1 species
CUUCCAUAUGCCGUGGGUGCGGCCCUACAACAAAAAUGAAAACAAAUAACAAGCGUUUGCAAGGAUGUGGAGGAAAAGGAACCCUCUGACACUGCUGGUGGGAAUGUAAAUUGGUGCAGCCACUGUGGAAAACAGGACGGAGGUUCCUCAAAAAACUAAACAGAGAAAAAACUACCAUACGAUCCCGCCAUCCACUCCAGGGCAGGCAUCUGAAAAAAAUAAGACAUUCAUUCAAGAAGAUACAUGAACCCCAAUGUUCACAGCAGCACCGUUUGCAAUAGGCAAGACGUGGAAGCAGCCUAAAUGUCCAUCAGCAGAUGACUUGGUAAAGAAGAGGCGGCACAGACACACGACGGAAUACUCCUGGGCCAUAGAAAAGCAUGACAUUUCGCCAUGUACAACAACAUGGAUGGAUUUGGAGGCAGCAGGCCGUAAGUCCGAGAAAGACAAACACUGUGUGAUGUCCCUUACAUGUGACAUCUGAAACAUACAACAAAGUAGUGAAUAAAACCGAGGAGGCGCAGACUCCCAGAGGUCGAGAAUGACCCAGCGGUGACGGUGGGGAGAAGCAGGCGAGGGCGGGGAACAGGCAGGUGAUGGGGCCGUGGGAAAUCGGAGUGGGAAACUCUGAAACUGCAAAGCACUAUAGAGUGCAAAAAAUCAUUCAUUCAAUAAAUUUAAAUGUUGCCGCCUUAAUUACAAACGAAAGCAAGAGAUAAUAACCUGCACUAUUUCUUAAACUUACGGAGAUAAAAGAGGAAGCAGAAGGAAGGAAGGCUCGAAAAUCUUAGCGUGCUAGAAACAAAAUACCAAUGCACAAUAUGGUUGUUGAAAAAAUGAGAGAAUCCCACUCGCUGACCUAAUGUUUGUUUCACGCGAGAUGACGGAGGUACAGAAAGUGGGAAAUGACAAGGAGGAAACCUCCAAGAAAUAAAAGGAAUUACAGGCAGCAGAAAAGGGCAGAGGUUUCUGGAAAUAAGCAGAGCCCUCGCCUGCACCGGGCCAGAGCUCGGUGGGGACAGCGGUGGCCCCAGCAGGCCUUCAAAUCGUGGGCUGAGUGAGGUCUCGUCGCAUCCCUCCGCCCCCGACCAGAAGAAGGCGACGAUCUAACGGAACUGCUCCGUGUCCAGGUGUUCCCGCAAUGUUCCUUCUAUUUUGUUCUUGAGCAGGAAUAUAUACAUUUUCUAUACAGCAAACGGUCCCAAGGUUGCUGGCCCUGGCAGUUUUGCAAACACCUCGAUCUUCCCGUCACCCCUCCGACCAUGCUGAACCCUCACCUCCCAAAGUCCCUGUGUCUCAGCUGAAACGAAUCUGACUCGUAACCAUGAGAUUGUGGGUUCGAUCUCUGGCCUCGCUCAGUGGGUUAAGGAUCUGGCGUAGGCCGGUGGCUGCAACUCGGCUUCCACCUGGGAACCUCAGUAUGCCGUGUGUGUAGCCCUAAAAAAAAAAAAAAAAAUCAGCAAUUCCCCUCUGGAUAUUUAUCUGAAGAAAAAGAAAACACUAAUUCGAAUGGAUAUAUUCACCCGUGUCUUCAUUGCAGCAUUAUUUGCAGUAGCCAAGAUAGGGAAACAACCUAAGUGCCCAUCAAUAGAGGACUGGGGAAAGAAAAUGUGAUGUACACACACACACACACACACACACGGGAAUAUUACUCAGCCAUAAAAAGGAAAUCCUGCGUUCGCAACAACAUGGAUAAACCUUGAGGACACUGAGAAAUAAGCCAGACAAAGAUAAACACGGUGUGACCUCAUUUAUAUGUAGAAUCUAAAACAGCAAAUUUAUCAAAACAGAACAGAUUGGUGGUUGCCAGCAGCAGGAGUGGUGGAGGGGGAGGAAGUGAGAAAAAAUAGUCCAAAAAAUGUAAUUUUAAUGGCUUCCAGCCGUUGAUUCUUUCUUUCAUGGACAGUGCCUUUAUUUCUUCUCUUCCCGAUUACUUUUCUGGAUGACAUCGAUAGCAACUAUUCCUUCCUACCUGCUCAGUAACUGCUGAAUCUGUGGACACGGGUGCCCUUUGAUCCAGUGGACACACUUUUUAGGCUCUUUCUGAAGCAGCACCCCCAGGUUCAUGGAGAAUUGUAGACUAGAGCCCUGACGGCAGUCACCUGUCACAGUGGUCGAUUCAGCCUCAUCCACCCAUGCGAAGGGGGCGUCCAGACUGGGGAGGGGUGUUCAGGAAAGGAAAUAUGGUGAAAAUACAGGUAUUGGCACAAAAACUGUCCAAAAUGUAUUCCUAGUGGGCAAAGGUGCCUGUCCUUCUGCCCAGUGUGUGCAGGGGCUGAAUGCUGGCCCCAAAGGCAAUGUCCAACCUGAAUCCCCAGGCCUGGGAACCAAACCUUGUUUGGAAAUAGGGUCUUUGCAGAGAGCAUGAAGUGAAGGCCUGAGAAGAGGUCGCCCCAGACAAGGCAGGCCCUGACAAGUGUCCUCUGAGGAGAGGGGAGAGGAGAGACAGGGGAGGGGGCCGGCAGGUGGGGUUGGCGGCAGGUGCGGGGGGUGGACUCUUUCCUCAAAGCUGCCACACCCACCACACCCUGGCUUAGAACUUCCGGCCUCCAGAACUGAGAGAAAAAUUUCUGUUACUUUAAGCCACCAAUUUUGUGGUGCUGUCACCACAGUCCCAGCAAAGUGUAAAACCAUUUAUUUUCAAAAUAAGCAAUGACGAUUUACCAGAUUGGCGUCUGUACAAGUUUAUCUGGAGGUGGGGCUUUGGUGAUUCCUUCCAUUCUAAUUUGUGCAUUUCUGUAAAGUCUGAGUUUUCAGUAACUUUGUUUUCUGUUAAUAGGAAAAUGCCACCAAAAUAUCAAAUGUCUGUAACCGGCUGCAGGAGUGACCGAGGCACCAGACCAUGGUGCCUUGAUGGGGGUGGGGGGCGGCGGGCAGGAUGCGGCGGGGUCGCCCAGGUGGCCACGUGAGCAAGCAGGUGGGAGAGCGAGCGGGUCGCACCCGCCUGCGCAGUUCGCGGCUGGGCGGUGGCGGUGGCGCGAGAGGCGUCCGUUGCCUUGGCAGGGACCUGGGCUUCUCCCACCCAGGCUCUCGGCUGUGGCAGGUGGGCCCUGGGGCGGGGCAGCCCCGGUCCCCGGUGACCUUUGUCUUUGAUGACAGGCCUGGGAAGCCUCCUCCCCAGCAGGGCUGGCGGGGGUGGGGGGGCGCGCUCUCAGACCCGAGGCGGUGGAGCGAGCCCGGCGGGCUGGGCCUUGCGGUCCCCCUUCUCCGUGAGGCUAUUCGUCUUCCGCGGUCCUGCACAGCCUCUGAGGAGCGCGGGGGGGCGGGGGCCGCUGAGGGCGUGUUCCCCCCAGAAACAUGCUACUUCCCCAGGGCCAGGACGAAUCUGACUUCCAUCAGGAGGGGCUUCCACCCUGCUGAGGGCCACCAAAAUGCCGGCGUCCCUGGAUGCCCUUCGACGCGGCCUGAUGUUUCUUAUGGUGACUCAACUCCUCUACAUCAACCACAAGAAGGAUGUUUCCUGAGGCUACAGUUCUUAGAAAAAUCCUUUUUAGAAAUGGUAGGAGGAGAGUUCCCGUUGUGCUCGGUAGUGUAGAAUCCAACUAGUAUCCAUGAGAACUCCGGUUCAGUCCCUGGCCUCAGCGGGUUAAGGAUCUGUCGUUGCGGUGAGCUGUGGUGUAGGUCAAAGACACAGUCGGGAUCCCACGUUGCUGUGGCUGUGGUGUAGGCUGGCAGCUGCAGCUCUGAUUUGAGCCCUUGCUGCAGGUGCAGCCCUAAAAGACACACACACACACACACACACACACACACAGGAUGUGGGGGGCGAAGGGGAAGACUUCCUCUUCCCUUUGGGACAGAGCCCACGGAGACAAAGAGCCAGAAAACAGGACUAAGUCUCUGAAGUGCCUCGGGCCAGGCCGGGGUGAGUCAGCUCAGGAUGGAGGUCUGGCUGCAGAGGUCCCCCAGGUCUGUCUGGGCUGGAGCCGGCUGGCCUCCGGUGCUGGUGACUGGGCAGCCUCCCUUUCCGCUGCAGAAUGCAUGGCUUGCUCGGGGCCCAGGAGGCGCAUUCCGAUGGCCCGCAGGAUGGGCUGUGAACCUGACAGGGCGCUGGCCUCCGAGCACAUGCCUCAGGUGCGAAGGGGUGAGCAGGGCUGGUGCCCUCAGCCCGGCCACAAGAGCUUUCUUGCUCUGCGCCUGGCCCACACUGGCAGCCCUGGAGUACCCCCC